UUUCCUGACCGCGCAGUGCGCGAAACCGGCGUGCGCUAGGACCGCGGCGCGCCGCCCUCCGCCGUUAUAAGAGGCCGCGCUCCGGCCCCACGCGGAACCCGGGGCUCCGAGCCUUCGCCGGCGUCCCGACCUGAGGCCAGCCGUGAGGCCAGUCCCGCGGCCAGUCCCGCCGCUGCGAAGCCGAGGCCAGUGCGGGGCCUGAGAGGGACGCGCGCCCCGGGGCCCCCGCCGCGGGUACCAUGGGCGCUGCCCACUCCGCGUCCGAGGAGGUGCGGGAGCUCGAGGGCAAGACCGGCUUCUUCGCAGGCUGGUGUGUGGUUUCCACUUCAGCACUCCUCAGUCUGGGCUCAUCACCUUCAAGGGCUCAGCAGCCACUUGGACGGGCAGUCUCAUCAGAUCAGAUCGAGCAGCUCCAUCGGAGAUUUAAGCAGCUGAGUGGAGACCAGCCUACCAUUCGCAAGGAGAACUUCAACAAUGUCCCAGACCUGGAGCUCAACCCCAUCCGAUCCAAAAUUGUUCGUGCCUUCUUCGACAACAGGAACCUGCGCAAGGGACCCAGUGGCCUGGCUGAUGAGAUCAAUUUCGAGGACUUCCUGACCAUCAUGUCCUACUUCCGGCCCAUCGACACCACCAUGGACGAGGAACAGGUGGAGCUGUCCCGGAAGGAGAAACUGAGAUUUCUGUUCCACAUGUACGACUCGGACAGCGAUGGCCGCAUCACCCUGGAAGAAUAUCGAAAUGUAAAGUGGUCGAGGAACUGCUGUCAGGAAACCCCCACAUCGAGAAGGAGUCCGCUCGCUCCAUCGCCGACGGGGCCAUGAUGGAGGCGGCCAGCGUGUGCAUGGGGCAGAUGGAGCCUGAUCAGGUGUACGAGGGGAUCACCUUCGAGGACUUCCUGAAGAUCUGGCAGGGGAUUGACAUUGAGACCAAGAUGCACGUCCGCUUCCUUAACAUGGAAGCCAUGGCCCUCUGCCACUGACCCGCCGCCACCUUCGCAGAGAAACCGCACUUUGCAAUGGGGCCGCCUCCCCGUGUAGCUGGAGCAGCCCAGGCCCGGCGGACAGCCUCAUCCUGCAGCACCGGUACACAGCCAAGGCUCGUCCGCACACGUUGUGUCUUGUAGGGUAUGGUAUGUGGGACUUUGCUGUUUUUAUCUCCAAUAAAAAAAAAAAAAAAGUUUGUUAAUUAA